rnacentral:rRNA from 1 species
GACGAACGCUGGCGGCGUGCUUAACACAUGCAAGUCGAACGGAAAGGCCUCUUUCGGGGGGUACUCGCGUGGCGAACGCGUGAGUAACACGUGAGUAUCAUGCCCUUGACAUUGGGAUAACAUCAGGAAACUGGGGCUAAUACAGGAUAGGAGCUCCUGUUGCGUGGUGGGGGGUGGAGAGUGUUGGCGGUUGGGGGUGGACUCGCGGCUUAUCAGCUUGUUGGUGGGGGAGUGGCUUACCAAGGCUUUGACGGGUAGCCGGCCUGGGAGGGUGACCGGCCACAUUGGGGCUGAGAUACGGCCCCGGCUCCUACGGGAGGCAACAGGGGGGAAUAUUGCACAAUGGGGCGGAGGCCGGUGCAGCAACGCCGUGGGCCGGAUGACCGCCUUUGGGUUGUAAACCGCUUUCGCUCAGUACCGAGCUGUGUGUGACGGUAGUGGGUAAAGAAGCACCGGCUAACUACGUG